UACGUAGGGUGCGAGCGUUAAUCGGAAUUACUGGGCGUAAAGUGUGCGCAGGCGGCCGCGCAAGUCGAGUGUGAAAUCCCCGAGCUUAACUUGGGAAUUGCGCUCGAAACUACGUGGCUGGAGUGUGGCAGAGGAAGGUGGAAUUCCACGUGUAGCGGUGAAAUGCGUAGAUAUGUGGAGGAACACCGAUGGCGAAGGCGGCAUCCUGGACCGGCAUUGACGCUGAGGAGCGAAAGCCAGGGGAGCAAACGGG
rnacentral:rRNA from 1 species